rnacentral:rRNA from 1 species
GACGUAGGGCGCGAGCGUUGUCCGGAUUUAUUGGGCGUAAAGAGCUCGUAGGCGGCUUGUCGCGUCGAAUGUGAAAACCUGCAGCUCAACUGCAGGCUUGCAUUCGAUACGGGCAGGCUCGAGUUCGGUAGGGGAGACUGGAAUUCCUGGUGUAGCGGUGAAAUGCGUAGAUAUCUGGAAGAACACCAAUGGCGAAGGCAAUGUUCUGGCUCGUUUCUGACGCUCAGGUGCGAAAGCCAGGGGAGCGAACGGG